CGUUUUUUUCGGCGAAUCAUUUGCGAAUCGCGAAUAAUCCGCGAAUAAUUAUUUUUGGGAAAAAACAUAAUUUUUUUUGAUUUUUUUGGAAAAAUACGCAGUUUAAUUCGUGUAAUAUCCGAGAUGUUGAUAGUGUAGCUAAACCCUCUGUUGACGAUGUUUUUGUGUGUAAUGUAAUUACAUAAGCACUCGCCAAGUUUCAAGAGAAAACGAGUUAGGAUGGAGAAGUUACGAGAUCGGUACUAAUCACUUAAAGUGAAUAGUAACUUCGGUUUUUCUGAGAAGCCAAUGAGUGGAGAAGGCUUCUGAUGCGUAUUGGACACAGAUCAUAGUGAUCCAAUAGCUCAUUUUCGACGGUUCGACUAUCCUGGACCCAAUGGCACUGACGGAUUUGGGUUCUGAUGUACGGUUUUCGAGAAAAAGAGUUUUAUUGGAUUUAUAUGUAUAGGUGUGGCUUUUAGAGAUUGGAGAGGGUUGAUUUUGUCGCUAAUCGGCGACCGAAUCGGACAAAACAAAAGCUAGAUUUGAUGCCCCAGUCGUGCUGAACGUCCUGGCGCGGUCCGAUCAGAAAUCCGACGGACGGAUCUUCGAGAAUUGCGAAAUGUUCGCCGAGGGGUCGAAAUCGGCAAAACGUAAAAAAAGGCGAAAAG
rnacentral:lncRNA from 1 species